rnacentral:sRNA from 1 species
GUCGUCGUCCUCGUCGACGACGUGCACGAGGAGGAGCGCGAGGCGAACGAGCGCGCGAGACACGGCGCGCACGCCUCUGCUAAUGAUCAGGAGAGACGACACCGACACGGCGAGACCGCGAUCGAUCGACGCCAUCACCAGCUGCUGCCACAUGUUAACAACCUCAAUUCGAUCGGUGGAUCCAGUACUGAUCGAUCAACUGGUUAGUCCCAACAACUGCAGGCCUGUAGCUGGUAGACAACUUAAUUUUUUUACCAAGUGGGACCCAUCUUAUUUUCUCUCAUAGGUUUUAACCAUUGUGGAGUUUAUCAUAGCUAAUGCUUUCUGCACAUUAGUGCCCAUUGUUACAUAUACAUUGAGGAUGCCCUCAUGCGGACUGUUUUUGCGUAAAAAAAAACAUUAAUUAUGUUCAAUCCC